CAGAACGAACGCUGGCGGCGCGUUUUAAGCAUGCAAGUCGGACGGCAGCGGGGGGCAACCCCCGCGAGAGUGGCGAACGGGUGAGUAACACGUAGGCGAUCUGUCUUUUUCAUGGGGAUAGCCUGUGGAAACACGGGGUAAUACCGAAUAAGCUCCGCGGAGCAAAGGCCGCGGAGGAAAGGCGCGUAUGCGCCGGGGAAGGAUGAGCCUGCGGCCCAUUAGUUAGUUGGCGGGGUAAGGGCCCACCAAGGCAGCGAUGGGUAGCCGGCCUGAGAGGGUGAACGGCCACACUGGGACUGAGAUACGGCCCAGACUCCUACGGGAGGCAGCAGCUAAGAAUCUUCCGCAAUGGGCGCAAGCCUGACGGAGCGACGCCGCGUGGACGAGGAAGGCCGAAAGGUUGUAAAGUCCUUUUCUUUGUGAAGAAUAAGGGGAGGAGGAAAUGACUUCUCCGAUGACGUUAGCAAAG
rnacentral:rRNA from 1 species